GCUGUUUUUCAACGGUGUGGCUUCACGUCUGUAACGCUAAAGCUGUGCUUCUAUCAGAGCUGUAACUCAGCACCCCAUUGCGCCCAAUGCUUCUGCAGUAUGGUCAUCUGAUCUACCAGGACUCGAAGACAUAUGUGUAAACAAUCAUACUAACAGAAAAGCAGAAGCCACAGAAAUGACCGGAGGAGAGACAGAGAGAGGAGAGAAUGAGACAAGGUGAUUUACAGUCAGAGGAAUGUCAC
rnacentral:lncRNA from 1 species